rnacentral:rRNA from 1 species
GAGGCUAACUGAUGACCUAAAUAUCUGAUGAGGAAAUUCAGCAUUAAUGUGCCAGAUGAUGGUACAUUGGUGUGCACUUUUCUUCUAGUAAGACGUUGCGAUCCAUUAGAAAAGCAAUUUAAAUCUGUAUAUAGGCCCAGAUAGGAGUUUAUACAUUAAGCGAGUAACAUAGCUUUGUUGUUAUGUGAAUGCGUGUAAACUAUUUGGUGUUCUUACAGAUGUCUGAUGGUAUAUUGACGAGUGUCACAUACAAUUCCUUGUGAAUUGACAUUCUUUAUGUGGAUGUAAUGUGUACAUUAUCAGCAACGUUUUAGAUUUAGGAUACCAUCAGGACCCGUCUUGAAACACGGACCAAGAAGUCUAACUUGUAUGCAAGUCAAUGGGAUUUUUAAAACCUAUAGGCGAAAUGAAAUUAACUUGUUAAUGGGAAUAACAAUGGGGGAAUUAUUUAUCUGGUUUUCCCUCCCCCGGUAAUCUAAUGGAAAUUACGGUAUCCCCGGUGGCUGGAACAACAAAAAUUUCCGGGGACCUUACAACUGGGAACCCAAAAAAGGGGAACUAAUGCCGAUCCAGGUUAAAUCCGGGGAAACCCUUGAGGGAAAACCGAACCAUUUCUACCUUGCAAUUCAUUGGCAAAAGUUGGUAAUAGGGCCAAAGAACCAUCCAACCCUUCUAUAACUGGUUUCCCUUCCAAAA